GGAUGUGAGAGUGAUCUGGCUGCGACAUCUAUCACCCGAUUGAUCGCCAGGGUUGAUUCAGCUGAUCUGGCUGGCUAGGCAGGUGUCCCUCUCUCACCGCUCCAUGUGCAUCCCUCCCAAAGCUGCACGCUCGGUGGAAGAGGACAACACCCAGGUAUAGAAGGAAUGUAUCGAGGUCUCCAAUCUUCGGUCCCGGGUAUACGAUAGCUGUAACUAGCACAGAUAUAAAGUACAGAAAGUCUUUGAUCAUGUUGCCAGGCAUUUUUCUAAAUAUAUUUUGUAGGAAAAUAAAAUCU
rnacentral:snRNA from 1 species